CAGCCUCAAUAAUCUCCAGGGUAUACGUUACGAUCACUCUCCACUCUACCCUGGAUGUAUCCACGGCUUGGCCCGGUAAUUAUAUUACCCCCUUUGUUGGCCCCGCAUUCAUCACAG